ACAUAUGACACUCCCAGGGCUUCAGCUACACCAGGGCAGGCAUCAAUUGGUUGAGCUCUAGGACUGUUGCAAUAGGCUACAGCCAGCCCAGGCCAAGGCAAGCCUUAUGCUACUGAUUAGCACAAUGUGUAGGUUCUUGGGGUCCUGAGCAGGGCCCUUGCCGUGCUGGUGACAGAAGAGUGAAAUGUUUGAGGGUGGAAAUCAAAGCUCCUGAGAAAUCAUGGUCAUUGCAUGCUGUCCUGCUGCAGGUGCUAAUCAAAGCAGUGCAGGAGACAGAGGAUUCAAUGCAAAAACAAGACUAUCUGUGGGAAAGUGUGUUUGAAAAGUUGCUCUAUCAACACAUGAUUGUAACAGAAGCCAUCU